rnacentral:rRNA from 1 species
UACGUAGGUGGCAAGCGUUAUCCGGAUUUAUUGGGCGUAAAGGGAACGCAGGCGGUCUUUUAAGUCUGAUGUGAAAGGCCGGGGCUCAACCCCGGGACUGCAUUGGAAACUGUAAAGCUAGAGUGCCGGAGAGGUAAGCGGAAUUCCUAGUGUAGCGGUGAAAUGCGUAGAUAUUAGGAGGAACACCAGUGGCGAAGGCGGCUUACUGGACGGCAACUGACGUUGAGGCUCGAAAGCGUGGGGAGCAAACAGG